rnacentral:lncRNA from 1 species
UUAAAACGUGUAGAUGACUAUGUUCCCGGUGUGAUUAACGAGCUGCGAUAUGUGUAUUUGUCAUAUACAAUGUAUCAUUUCAUACUUGGUUUGGAAGGUCCAGAAGGGAACAUGCACUUUACUUGACCGUAUUUAGAAGUACUCGAAAAACAUAACAUUUUAAAAAAUCAAUGUACUAAUGAUGUAUAAUACACACUGACCAUUUAGACUAGACAAAAACCAUUUAAAACAUCGUCGUUUAAUUGAUACACAUUACAUGUAUUAUAUGUGGGCUUAUAUGUGUAUAUGCACACACUUGAAAAAAAAACUUUUUUGAAAAACACAGUAGAUAGUAAGCGGAGAUGAAUAGUUCAGUUGGGACAGAAUUAACAAUAUUCGUUGUGUCGGGUCUUUGAUUAAUUAAUAAUCUGAUACGGUCUUAUCACUCAUCUUCAAAGUUAUCAAAUUAUCAACGAACUAUGGCCACAUUGUUAUACAAUGGCCGUGUUGUGCACUAAACAUAAACAACUAUUUCAACAGAUUGACGUUUAAAUAGGAUGCAACUCGGUGUUUGACAAAAAGAACAAAACUUUUGGAAUUAACCAGUUCCAGUGCUACCCAAAUAAACCGUACGAUAAACUGUACGAAAUUAACUACAUGUUUUCAGAAAGUUGACAAUUUCCUCGUGAAUUGGUGUCUGGUGAUGAACCUAUACACAACAGACAUUCAAGUGACUGGUCCGAACUGAAGCACUUCGAGAGAAAAGUAUUUUUUUCUGGCUAGGAAGAGAUACAUGUAUUUAAUCAGUUUAUGAAAAAAUGACUGUUCCUGCUCGACCUUCUGCUUAAAAGCAGUUCCUGAAUGAUCAAAAAUUGUGUCUGAUCUGUGUUCUACAACUGUUAAAAGACCACAGC